CUGUAACAUGCAGUAAGUCGCUCUGGAUAAGAGCGUCUGCUAAAUGACUUAAA
rfam:Salmo salar isolate Sally breed double haploid chromosome ssa03, whole genome shotgun sequence.